GCCAUUUAAAGAAACAGUACCGGGGGCGGGCCGAGCGACGCAGCCGGGACGGCAGCUGCAGCGCGGACCGGAGGAGCCAUCUUGUCUCGUCGCCGGGGAGUCAGGCCCCUAACUCAAAGAAGCCCUGGCGCGCCCUCCCCCCCUUCCCGGUCUGGAGAAAGGAGGAGAAAACCAACUGGAACUCAAAGCUUGAAAUUCUGUGACAAAACAUGAACUGUCCAGAAUAGGAGGUUGAAAGGGUUUCACUACAGCGUUCUGCACUCGCUGGAACCGAUGUCUUUCAGUGUAAUCACCGCGUGGGCUCCAGAUUUCCAGAAUUUCAAGAACUGGAUCUGGGACCUGGAAGAAAAUACCAGGGUGUGACAGGAACUCGGGAGCUGGACUUGUUUUUGAAUUUGAGGAGUGUUGUCCUUGUUUUGAAAAAGAGACAAUGACUGAGCAAGCACUGCCACCAGCGCUAUUACUGGAAAUUCGGAGACCUGAGUUUUCACCAAACGCUCAGUGCAUACUCUGGCGAUGCUUCAUCCAAAGUGAACUACGUCCUGUGCCUCCUGGUUGCCGAGUGUUCAUCUGGAUCUUCUGAUCACCUUUGUGCUAUUCCAUCAGCCUACAGAUCUGGUACCUGGAUUUUUGCCCAUGGUGAUGGAUUCUGCCACCUCAGUGCUGAAGAAGACAUCAUUCCAGUGGACCACUGUGAUCUAGGAGGCGUAUCCAGCGAAUCAUGAUGUGGCCUUCACCUCCACUCCUGUCCUGUUCUACCCAGAUUCAACACAGCCUUUUGUAGUGAAGUUCAACUUCUCAAGCCAAAUAGCUGAAGCUGUUUUAUCACAACAAAGGUUCAGCUUGUUCCAUAAAUGUGCAUUUCGUUUCUCCAGUUAAAGCUUUCAGAGACACAUAAUAAAUUUGGACCAGGGGAUUUUUAGUUAUCAGCACUGUCUGAAGAAUGGCAGCAUCUUUUUGAGAACCAUAUCGGACCAUGCCCCACUGUCUCAAAUGAUUGAAAUUCAGGAAUUGUCUAAUCUGGACCCCAUUCUUUUUCCAUUUCAAAUCUGUAGUAGCCUACUGAAUGAGCAAGCAGAUAUUCUGACCCGUUGGGAUCAAAACAAAGGCACAGUGAACUCACAGCAUCUUCUUUGGGAUUACUCAGGAACCAGAACUUUUCACACAAAUGUAAGAAAUUCUACCAAGGAAUCCCUUUACCUAACAGCAUCUCAUAAAGCUCCAAUCAGAUUCCAGAAAAGGCCUCUUGAUACAUCCAGCAUUUUGUGAACCAACUUACUCUUAGAUCAUUGGUUUUCCAAAGGCUUUGUGGCCAUGAAGCACUUUGAAUGAAAACUUUAUGGAAGCCCAGAGUAAAAGUGAAGCUGCUCUGGAGGAAGCAGAAGUGGGGGGCCUGAAACCUGCCACAAGCAUCUUACUUUACCAUCAUGGUGACACCUAAGGAGACUUCCUUACAACAACUAGAAAUCUUCAGAACACAGUUUGGAAACCACUGCCCUAGACAACAGUACGACCUGAAUGGCAUUCUGUUCUGUACCUCUACCCAACACGUCGGUGUUCAGUUGAUAAUGAGCAUUCUUAGGAAUACUCAGAGAGUGCAAGAAGAUGGACAUAUCUUUGCCCCCAAGAUUAGUCAUAUGGGCUGAAAGUAAUAUCAAAGAGACCUAGAAUAAUAGCCCUCUAACCACAAAUAGACUUCCAGUGAUUCCUGAAUGAUACAGCCACAGAGCAAUUUGUAUGUUACACUGACAAACCCCCUUAUUCAACUUCUUCCACAAACACCGGAUGCUCUAGUGGUACUUAAGAUGCAUGACCUUGAAGUCUUGAUCCUCCUUGAAUACAGUGAACACCAAGUAUUGAAGCUGAUGUUAAAGUCGAUGCCUCAUUGAGGCAGUAUUAGACCAGCUGUACAUUGGACCUCCCAUUCUCAGCUAUGGUACUCUACUUCGUGUGCAAGGGAUAACCAUAAACUAUGAAAGCAGAAUUCAGAGACUGGCAACAUUACCGAAAAGGGCACCUGAUGAUGAUUCAUCUUCUCAAACUACGUCACUAUCACUCAGCCAUUGGCAGUUACACUACUGCUUGGUUUUUAUUCCGUUUAACUGCUGUUUCCAGAAUAAAGAAGCAAAUAACCUCUGAAAAACUGCUAAAACAAUUCCUCCAUCACUGGCACAUCUGCCUGUUCUGCUCAGAAAUUAGUACUCAGCUCUACAUGUAAUACCUGAUCCACAAGAGACAAUCUCUGAACACCCUUUUCUUGUGUGUGUAAUUUAAAAUGUGGCCAUUGUAAAAAUUUUCUUCCAGCCAAUGAGAGAGUUUAAGAUGAAUCUUUUGAUGUCUGAUACCAUCAGUUGUUGAUGUUAAUGAUAUUUAGAGGUAGGCCUUUGGAUCAGGCCUUGAUAGCUUACUUGGUGGGCAUCUCAAAUUCCGUAUCUACCUUUUUGCUGGAAAUGUAGACUAACGUGAAAGGAAAUCUAUAAAGCCUGCAGCUAAAGAGUUUUAGCAAUAGGCUCAAGCUUCUUGAGUCUUCCCAAUGUCACAAGACCACAGUCCCUUGUCCUUGUGGAUGUUUCCAUGGAAUUUCAUCUGUUGUUUUAACUGAAUCACAGUGGCUGACUUCAUUUCUUGUCAUGAAGUACUCUCAGGCAUUAAGACAACUUGUCUGUUCAGGAGGGAUUUGAUUCAUGAAUUCCCAGACCAGAUCAUGUAGAACAAGUAGACUUUAAUCCAUGCCCUGAGAAAAAAAUCUUAUUUCUUCAGAAUUGACUCAAGGGCCAGCUGUCCUCAACUACUUUAAUGAAUGCACUGGUUAAAAGUUGGGAAUGUUUAUAUCUUUGUCUCUUAUCCUCUACACUAAUUGUGAUUAUGUGACUCAGUGUACAAAUCAUCAAACAAAGCCUAAGUGGUUAUUCUAUACUGCUCAUUUUCAACAAAAUCUGAUGACUAGCCUGCUUGUGUAUAUACAACUAUUAUUUGUAAAGAAGAAAUUGUCUACAAACUCGGUUUUUUCACUACCUUCAUAAUGUCAACUCGAUUUUCUUUUUCUCCUGGACUUGACCGGAAGAUACAUUGAUCUAUCACUGCCAGUCAUUUCCUUUAACCCUGUUAAAAUGAGAGACUUAAAAAGGUAAAGAUGAUCAUCUGUUCAAGAGUCUAAUGUAUGCUGUGUAUAAGAAUUGAUGGUGGAAAAAGCCUAAAACUCAAACCUAGUAACUGUCUCCGUGCCUCAGAUCUCAUCUUGCAGCAGUACCAUUCAACCAGUCUGAGGCCUUGACUUGUUGAUAAGAUGUUUCUCAGAGAUGAGCUGAAUUACAGAAGAUGGAGACUUGAUUACCAAAGAAAGUAGGGCCAACCUUGAUGAACCUGGCUCUCCCAACCCUAUCACUCCCAGAUGUAGCAUAGACUCCUAAACAGAACCUCAAGUCUGGAUUUAAGAGAUACCCUUCUCCUGAGCUGAAAGUUCUUGGACAGAUCAGCAGGAAAGUGAAAGUUGCUAUACCUGACUGGCCCUUUAAGAUCAGAAAAUUGUAUCUAGAGUAAACCGUAUGGAUUAACCCUGGAAUACUCAGGGUUAAAGCUAAUUUACAGAACUUCAACGUUAAACUGCCUGUUUUUCCAGAUCUUAGCCUGGCUACUGAUAUGACUGGCCCUGCUGAAGUUACCUUACUUACUUGUCUAUUUACCUGAUUCAGCCAUUGCCUGCCUUUCUGACAUAUUGCUGCAAUCUGACACUGUCCUUCAGAAGACUACAGCUGAUCUCGGCUAUCUUAUAUCCGUUUCCACCAAGAAGUUUUGAACAGAAGCAACCUGUACUUCUGUAGUCUCCAGGACUUGAUGUUCACAACAGGAAGGAGCAUGCUACAUACUCCUUGACCAGCAGCUUUUUUUUUUUUUAACUGCAGAGUAAGUCUCUAUGCCUAUAUAUAUUAGAUCAUCAUUUUCAGCACUUGGGACCUUCUCUGCCAGAUCUGAAGGAGCAGAGCAGAUUGAAAGCACUGUCCAUUCCUCCAUUCUAUGGUCAUACGGAGAUGAAUCUGAUUUACAGUAUUCACAGAAACGUACCAGUUCAACUUGGCAAAAGACUUAAAGGAACAUAAAACUUUUACACUGAACUUAAAAUUUACCACUGACUUGAGGAAGUCUCACAGAACUCUUUGCCAGUGGGAGGCUGGUUGUCCUGUUUCAUGUCAGCAAGACAGUUGGGCUCUCAGGCUCAUGCCGACUGAGUUUACUUACAUUGAAACUCUUGUAUCAUCCAGAUAUGCUAUUGGACAUGAUUAUUCCAUUCAGAUGGAUUACAAGCCUCCUGAGUAGAAGACAAACUUACUACUCAUGAUUUUUUCGAGAAUACUUUUAUCAUCAAGGAAGGAACAAUGCCAGUGGUUACCAUUCAACUUUAUGAGCACAGAUUAAACUUUUUCAGUAUCUGGUCUUACCACUGACAUCAGUUGUUUUUGAUUGACCAGCCUCCAUUCCAUUCCUUUGUAACGACUCCCUGAUGUUUCUUCGAACCCCUUCUCCCUUUCUUCAGUCCACAUGGUUCAGUCUGACCUAAUCUUAGGUUUCAUGGAUGGACACGUAAUUCAGACCUGAUCAAUCAGCACAGUCCAUCUCCUUGACCAUAGUGAUUGAUGCAGGAUUGGUCAUGUGAUUCAAGUUGGUCCAGUGAUUCUCAACCCUAAGAGUUUUAGUGAACUACGGAAGAGAAGCUCUUUACUGAGAAUGCUUAGCUCUGUAGGAUGAAAAGCUCAAACCAACAGGGCCCAACAUAUCAAAUGAGCCAGUCGGAGAAUGAAGCCAGUAUAGAGGAAAAUGGAGCCAAAUGAUGGAGAGACUUGAGUCCUGAUGACAACGUUUGUGCCCCUGGAUCAAACCGUGCCUGAAGCUAGUAUAUCCCCUGGACUUUUCAGUUAUGUGAAUCAAUAAAUACCCUUCUUUGC
ensembl:lncRNA